rnacentral:rRNA from 1 species
UACGUAGGGUGCGAGCGUUAAUCGGAAUUACUGGGCGUAAAGCGUGCGCAGGCGGUUUUGUAAGCCAGAUGUGAAAUCCCCGGGCUUAACCUGGGAAUGGCAUUUGGGACUGCAAGGCUCGAGUGCGGCAGAGGAGACUGGAAUUCCUGGUGUAGCAGUGAAAUUCGUAGAUAUUCGGAAGAACACCAGUGGCGAAGGCGGCUCACUGGUCCGGUACUGACGCUGAGGCGCGAAAGCGUGGGGAGCAAACAGG